AGGACCUGAGCUGAUACCAAGAGUCAGAUGCUUAACCACAGCAUCACCCCGGUGCCCCAUAGCACCUGAUUUUACUUUGCUCUGUUGCAUACUGCUCACUUGUCCUCUCCUGCCGUGUCUUGACUGACAGUGGGCACACAGGAAUGAACAGCCAGGGGCUUGGAUGUCAGCUUUUUCACGACACUCUCCCAACAUGGAUGAAUGCUGCUGGGCCCCGUAUUUCCCAUCAUGGUUUGAACUUAACUUUCUUGGCACGGGAAAAAAAAAAAACUGGGACAAUUAUAGGCUUUUCAUGUAGGGUAUGAUAAGGGGCACUUACACUUCAUAACAGCAAAUGUAUAAACACUUGUAGCCUUGCAAGGGUGUGUGUGUUUGUGUCUGUGUCUGUGUUUGCAUGUGCAUAUGCACAAAAGCCGAGGGCAGAGAGUGAAAGAAAGAAUUAUUUCCAAGCAAUAAGUUAUGAACACUGACCUUUAACAUACAUUAACUUGGCCAGUAAAGAAACUUGGACCAGUGAGUAUCUGAGAAGUCUGCAAUUCUCCCAGUUUUCAUCCUCUGCCAAGAAAGUUAAGAUCAAACCUUGAUGGGAGGCAGGAACCUAGCAGCAUUCACCCAUGGCAAGAGAGUACCAUGAAAAAGCUGACCUUCAAUCCCUCGGCUCUUCAUUUCUGCAUGCCCACUGUAUCCAUCAAGACACUGCAGGAGAGGACAGAAGCGGGAUUCAAACUUUCAGAGACAAUGAGGAACGGAGAGAUCAAUACUCACUGAACCCUCUUCAUUCUCUCUUUCUCACCAUAUCAGAGAGUCAUAGGUGGGGACUCUUGAUUGUUCAGAAGUGUUCCAGGGUGCACCU